AUCAACUUUCGAUUGGUAGGAUAGAGGCCUACCAUGGUGGUAACGGGUAACGGGGUGUUAGGGCACGACACCGGAGAGGGAGCCUGAGAAACGGCUACCACAUCCAAGGAAGGCAGCAGGCGCGCAAAUUACCCAAUCCCGACACGGGGAGGUAGUGACAAUAAAUAACAAUACAGGGUUCUUUUGGAUCUUGUAAUUGGAAUGAGUACAAUUUAAAUCUCUUAACGAGGAACAAUUGGAGGGCAAGUCUGGUGCCAGCAGCCGCGGUAAUUCCAGCUCCAAUAGCGUAUAUUAAAGUUGUUGCAGUUAAAAAGCUCGUAGUUGAAUUUCGGGAUCAAGGAAUCGGUCAUGCCUUGGUAUGUACUGGUUUUAUUGGUUCUCACCUUCUAAAGAACCAUAAUGUCAUUCAUUUGAUGUUAUGGGGAAUUAGGACUGUUACCUUGAAAAAAUUAGAGUGUUUAAAGCAGGCUUACGCUUGAAUACAUUAGCAUGGAAUAAUGAAAUAGGACAUCAGAUUCUAUUUUGUUGGUUUCUAGGAUCGAUGUAAUGAUUAAUAGGGAUAGUUGGGGGCAUUAGUAUUCAAUUGUCAGAGGUGAAAUUCUUGGAUUUAUUGAAGACUAACUACUGCGAAAGCAUUUGCCAAGGAUGUUUUCAUUAAUCAAGAACGAAAGUUAGGGGAUCGAAGACGAUCAGAUACCGUCGUAGUCUUAACCAUAAACUAUGCCGACUAGGGAUCGGAUGAUGUUAAUUUUAUAAUGACUCAUUCGGCACCUUACGGGAAACCAAAGUGUUUGGGUAAUCAC
rnacentral:rRNA from 1 species